rnacentral:tRNA from 1 species
AGGAUUAUAGUUUAUAAAAACAUUUGAUUUGCAGUCAAAAAUUAUUGUAAUUAAACAAUUUAUCUU